rnacentral:rRNA from 1 species
UACGGAGGGUGCGAGCGUUGUCCGGAAUCAUUGGGCGUAAAGGGCGCGUAGGUGGCCCGGUCAGUCGAUGGUGAAAGCGCGGGGCUCAACUCCGCGUCGGCCGUCGAUACUGCUGGGCUUGAGCACUGUAGAGGCAGGCGGAAUUACGGGUGUAGCGGUGGAAUGCGUAGAGAUCCGGAAGAACACCGGUGGCGAAGGCGGCCUGCUGGGCAGUGGCUGACACUGAGGCGCGACAGCGUGGGGAGCAAACAGG